rnacentral:misc_RNA from 1 species
ACGUAACAGAAAAUUUUGUCAAAUGUUUACAUCACAGUUUGACAACUUGGAGAAUCCUUGCAUGCUCAUCAAGGGAACAUCCAUCACUUUAAAGUGAUACUAUGCAUAAACAUAUAUGUACUGCAAAGUGAAUAUAUUUUCAAUGCUUCCAAGCAUGACAUAAAAUUGAUUAUCAUCGUACCUCUUUGUUCUUCUUUGAACCAAG